AUUUUAAAGUAAACUAUCUUUCUCUUGAAUUAAAAGUUUGUUACUACAAGGUGAAAUUUUAGUCAAAAUUAUUAAUGUAAACUAAAACAAAUAUAUGAUAGAAAGAUUUCUGGGUGAAGAAUUUCUAGGACAAUAAGUAUUGUCAACACCAUGAACAUUAUUUGAAGAAUUAGUAUAGAACUUCAUGGUUGAUAACACAUCCUUUGAAUGAGUCUUAUAAGUAGUGUUGAUAUAAUUCAGGUAGUUAGAGCCUACUGAAUAUACAAAUUAAAUACUAUGAUUGUAAAGUACUGAUACAAUCAUCAUUAGUUGGUAUUAUGGUAUAGGAAUGUAAUUCAUGAAUACAAAUGACCUAAAGAUUUUAAGGUUGCUAGAAACCAUAUGAUUCAUGGAAAUCUAAUUGGACAGGAUAUUAUAGUAAUACAUGUAUUAGUACUUAAGUGAUAUCAGGUAAUGAGAAUGAAAAUACUAUGUUAUAUGUGUCUGUAGGAAUAUGAUAGUGAUACACAGUUAUUAUUUAGAAAGUUAUCAUCUUGAUUUUGUUAUCUACAAAGACAUGACUGUACCAGAGCAGGUAGAUCUUUCUAAUUGUUUUAUUGUUUAUUGGAUCAACAUUUGUAAAUAUUUUAUUUUAUUCAUUUAUUAUUGUUAAAUGUAUAUAUUAUGUUCAAGUAGUUAUGAUGUAACAUGGAUAUCAAUACAUAGCUGAAACAGAGGGAGUUUGAAGUAAAGUAAGCAGAAUGAGGGAUAGAAACUCGACCUUCUAAGAACUCUCAUAUAAUAGAAAGUUGUGACUACAUCUUGUUCUAUGCUCAAUGAAUGUGAUACAAGUGAUGUAUGAAAGGACAGGUUAGUGACAUUGUGUUAUGGUUUUAAAACAAACCAUAAACAGAGGGAAUGUAGAAUAUUGCAUAUUCUAUGUUUCUAUUGAUUAUAUAUAUGGAUGUGUGGAUUGACAUAAGUAACAGAUGGUAUCAAUAAGUCACAAGGCAUUCUUUGUCCGAGAGCUCUGGAAUGUGGAUGUGGGGGUCUUGUCCUUAUAUGGCUAGAGUUAAAUGCUGACGUUAGUAUGAGCACAUCUUUAUAGUAACAGAGGGACACAAGGUCGCUCUCUCUUGGCUCGUGGCUCUUGGCUCUGAGUUCUCUCUGGCUCUCUCUCUCGAUGUAAAGAUGUAAGGAUUUAAAGAAGUCCAGCAAUUACCAUCUGCUGUUGAAUGUACAUUAUCCUGUAACAUAAUUUAUUAUGUUUUAUUAUGUAUCUGUAACUAAGAAUAAACCUG